rnacentral:rRNA from 1 species
GUUAUCCGGAUUUAUUGGGUUUAAAGGGUGCGUAGGCGGUUUAUUAAGUUAGUGGUUAAAUAUUUGAGCUAAACUCAAUUGUGCCAUUAAUACUGGUAAACUGGAGUACAGACGAGGUAGGCGGAAUGUAAGUUAAGUAGCGGUGAAAUGCAUAGAUAUAACUUAGAACUCCGAUAGCGAAGGCAGCUUACCAGACUGUAACUGACGCUGAUGCACGAGAGCGUGGGUAGCGAACAGGAUUAGAUACCCUGGUAGUCCACGCCGUAAACGAUGCUCACUGGUUCUGUGCGAUAUAUUGUACGGGAUUAAGCGAAAGUAUUAAGUGAGCCACCUGGGGAGUACGUCGGCAACGAUGAAACUCAAAGGAAUUGACGGGGGCCCGCACAAGCGGAGGAACAUGUGGUUUAAUUCGAUGAUACGCGAGGAACCUUACCUGGGUUUAAAUGGGAAAUGUCGUAUUUGGAAACAGAUAUUCUCUUCGGAGCGUUUUUCAAGGUGCUGCAUGGUUGUCGUCAGCUCGUGCCGUGAGGUGUCGGGUUAAGUCCCAUAACGAGCGCAACCCUUACCGUUAGUUGCUAGCAUGUAAUGAUGAGCACUCUAACGGGACUGCCACCGUAAGGUGAGAGGAAGGCGGGGAUGACGUCAAAUCAGCACGGCCCUUACACCCAGGGCUACACACGUGUUACAAUGGCCGGUACAGAGGGCCGCUACCAGGUGACUGGAUGCCAAUCUCAAAAGCCGGUCGUAGUUCGGAUUGGAGUCUGUAACCCGACUCCAUGAAGUUGGAUUCGCUAGUAAUCGCGCAUCAGCCAUGGCGCGGUGAAUACGUUCCCGGGCCUUGUACACACCGCCCGUCAAGCCAUGGAAGCCGGGGGUGCCUGAAGUCCGUAACCGCGAGGAUCGGCCUAGGGCAAAACUGGUAACUGGGGCUAAGUCGUAACAAGGUAGCCGUACCGGAAGGUGCGGCUG